rnacentral:rRNA from 1 species
AAGGUUACAAGAGCGAACGGCGGAUGCCUAGGCUUCUGGAGGCGACGAAGGACGUGGUAAGCUGCGAAAAGCACCGGGGAACUGCAAACAGGUAUUGAUCCGGUGAUAUCCGAAUGGGGCAACCCGGCACAUUGAAGAUGUGCCACCAAUCAUAUUGGGGCAAACGGGGGGAACUGAAACAUCUCAUUACCCCCAGGAAGAGAAAGAAAUUAUCGAUUCCCUUAGUAGUGGCGAUCGAACGGGGAAGAGCCUAAACCGGUGUUGUUACGGCAUCACCGGGGUUGUAGGACCGGUCAUAAGAUUAUCUGAAUUGAACUGGAAUGUUCUGGAAAGUUCAAUCGCAGAGGGUGAUAAUCCCGUACAGGUAAGAUUCAGAUGACAAGGCCGGCACCUGAGUAGGGCGGGACACGUGAAAUCCUGUCUGAAUCCGCGGGGACCAUCCCGCAAGGCUAAAUACUCCCAGAAGACCGAUAGUGAACCAGUACUGUGAAGGAAAGGUGGAAAGCACCCCGCGCAGGGGAGUGAAAUAGAACCUGAAACCGUUCGUUUACAAGCGGUCGGAGCUCUACGGAGCGACGGCGUGCCUUUUGCAUAAUGAGCCUACGAGUUGCUUCUGUCCGGCAAGGUUAAGUACUUCAGGUACGUAAGCCGAAGCGAGAGCGAGUCUGAACAGGGCGUUCAGUCGGACGGAGCAGACGCGAAACCUAGUGAUCUACCCAUGGCCAGGCUGAAGUCUCCGUAACAGGAGAUGGAGGGCCGAACCGGUUUACGUU